rnacentral:rRNA from 1 species
UGAGGAAUAUUGGUCAAUGGACGUAAGUCUGAACCAGCCAAGUAGCGUGCAGGAUGACGGCCCUAUGGGUUGUAAACUGCUUUUAUGUGGGAAUAAAGUGGCGCACGUGUGCGCCAUUGCAUGUACCUCAUGAAUAAGGACCGGCUAAUUCCGUGCCAGCAGCCGCGGUAAUACGGAAGGUCCGGGCGUUAUCCGGAUUUAUUGGGUUUAAAGGGAGUGUAGGCGGUCUGUUAAGCGUGUUGUGAAAUUUAGGUGCUCAACAUUUAACUUGCAGCGCGAACUGUCAGACUUGAGUACACGCAGCGCAGGCGGAAUUCAUGGUGUAGCGGUGAAAUGCUUAGAUAUCAUGAGGAACUCCGAUCGCGAAGGCAGCCUGCGGGAGUGUUACUGACGCUUAAGCUCGAAGGUGCGGGUAUCGAACAGGAUUAGAUACCCUGGUAGUCCGCACUGUAAACGAUGGAUGCCCGCCGUUGGCGCCCUGCGCCUGCGGCCAAGCGAAAGCAUUAAGCAUCCCACCUGGGGAGUACGCCGGNNCGGU